CAGGGCCUCAGGGGAACCCCCCCUCCCCGCCAGAAGAGAGGCCGCUGGUCCGCAGCCCCUUGCCCCACGCGAAGGGAGGUCAAGACUCACAGCUCCUGUCCCGGAAGCUCUGACUCUGAGGGCGGGACCCUGCCCCUACCCUAGGGAGCCCAGAGUCUGAGAGGAGACGCCAUCUCAGCCCUGCCCUGUUCAUUCCCUUUGUACUAAUGGCUGAGUGACCCAACUCAGUUUGGCUUGACUUAAGCAAGCCCUCUCUCUCUGAAGACUUGAAUGCCUACUCCCUUCACUGAGUGGUUUUCUCUGUUCCUGGACAACUCAGUGAGAAAGCAAUCAUCUGCACACCAAGAAGCGAGCCCUUAUCAGAGCUCAACC